GGAACAUUUAUAACCAAGAAGUGACCAGCCCUAUUCAAUACCAUCAUCAUCCUAAUUCCCAAGUCAUACAUUGGCAUGAGGAGGUGCAUUUUCUAACUAUGAUUGUAUUGCUUUAGACUCUAAAGACAGUAAAUGUUCCAACUUGUCCAAGGCUACAAAAAUAUGUUAAUGAUGGUAAACUUGACUUAAAACAAAUAAGUUCCCUCCAAUAUGAGUUCUCUCUAUCUUGGUUCUAAACGUGGUAAACUUGGUUUAAAACAAAUAAGCUCUCUCUAUCUGCAAUCCUUAGAACACCUAGUAUAAGUAUGCAACAUUUUAUCUUAAUUAAAUUCAGAAAGCUGAACCUGGCUUUAAGGUAUUUUACAAAUAGGUUUUGGGCACUAAUUAGGAUGGAGAAAAAUACUACAAAGAGUAAACAGAGCAGAAAUUAGCUGUUAUGGAACAUUUAUAACCAAGAGGUGACAAUCACAACUGUAUUUGAUUGAAUUCAACUUUUCAUCCAUUCACAAUAUCCAUCAUUUUGCAUGGUUAAUGAUUCUAGACAAUGAAAUGUCUGAAAUGAGAAUGAGUUCUUCAAUUAUUUAAGUUGCUCCUGAGAUGAGAGUGUGUUCUGUGUUUGUUGCAUGGAUAUCCAAUUAAUUGGAGAACAAGAUCAGAAAACCCAAAAAAUGAAGAAACUUCACUGUGCUUUUCCGAUGAAGAAAUUUUGCCACCACAAUAGUGGUGGCGAACUCUGCUCGGCAAACAAUAGCUCAUCCCUAUUUCUCGAACAAGACCCUGCCUCUCAUUUUUUUCUCUUUUUUUUUGUUAAUUUGGUUUGAAGAGACAAAAUAUGCAAGGGAAAAAGAAAUCACGCAAAAGUGGGGAAAUCCAAUUGUUUUAAAUUCAAGAGUUAGCUACUUGCAUGAAAUUAUUAUUCUAAAUUCAAGAGUUAGCUACUUGCGUGAAAUUUCAUAAGUGACUUGGACAAAAACUGACUUCCUUUCCUGGAAAAAAAAGAGAACAAAAAAUUAUACAUUUAACCCAUCAAUCAUGUUGAACGCUCUUCUAAAGUGGCCUGAAUUUAACAUCAAAGAAUCUUUGGAACUAAUUUCACUACCAUGGCAUGUUUCAACAGUCUAAGCUUGCUCAGACUCAAAAAAAAAGUAUAGCUAAUUGUCAAAAAAAAAAACACAUCAUCUUUUCUUAGCUUUACAUUGCAUAAAUUCAGGGCUAACAAGUUCAUAUUGUUAGACCACCAUUCAUUUAUUGAAGUUAGGAAUAACACCUAGACCAACUGUAAUAACCUCUCAAUAUGUUUAGAAAAUCACCUAUAUUUUUCUUGUUACUUGGUUUUGGAUAGAAAAGUUAGUUGUAAUGCCUCUGGAAUACAAAUACCUUAAUGUAAUUAGUUUAUAAUAGUUUGUCUCUUGACAACCUAAUUAAGCUCAUUCAAAAAAAAAUUGAACUUGCAAAUUUGAUGUUCAACACCUUUUAAUUUGAUUAGUUUCCUGCGUAAUUUCUAAUGUUUUAAAUCUCAAAUAUAGAAAAUGAAUUGCAUAUAUUCAUAGGCUAGAUUACAAACUACAUUAGCUAAAUCCACAAAGUAAAAUAGGAAAAAGAUAAAACACACAUACACACACACACAAACACAAAGUGAAACAGAAAGUAUGAAAUGCCUGGCCAUGUCUUACAUAAGGAAAAUUAAAGAAAGAAAAAGAGAAAAAUAGCAUCCAAUUGGCCUUCCAUAUAUUCCUUUCUGUUUUGUAGCUUUUCUGGUUCUUUUUGGAAACUUAUUAGUUUAUAAUGGAUUAAACUAUACAGAUAUUAUAAUAAGAGAAGGUUAUAGGAACUGCAAAACCUGUUAGGUGUUGUUUACGAGAAGAAAAAUCAAUUGCUCCAAUACAUUAUAAAUGAGUUGUUAAAAAAAUGACAAAUUAAUGCUCCACCAGUUUUGAUAUCAAAGAAGUUGUUGCUCAAUAUAAAAAUCUACAUCUAGCUACGUCAAUUUUGCAACAGUUUGCCAACUUGUUACAAAAGAUUUGAAAGGUAUCUUAUCUUCAACAGAAUCUAAAACCAAAUGAAUAUUUCGAAGUGGUUAAACAAAAUGCUCAUGGGUUUGGUUGCCAAUUCAUGUACUAAUCACAAAUCAGGAACUACUUGGUUUCUAUCCAAGUGGACAUUUUCAUUGGCUUGGGUAUUAAGCAUUGAAAGUCUCUUACUUAUGUUCUUUAUUCAUAACCGUUGACAAUAACACCAGUUUUUUUGCUCUGCAAUUUUCAAAUUUACGUGAACCAUAUAAUGUACUAUGUAAACACAGGAAGGGAACCAUAAUAUCAUAACAAAUUACAAAAAACAAAAGAACAAGCAAAUACCAUAUCACAAUCGAAACAUGCAUUGAUGAAAUUACAUUAAACCAAUCCAAAACAUCAUACAAUUUUCUGAAACAGAGAAAAACUAACACACAAUGAUUGUAGAUGUUAAAUGAGGACAUAUAGCGAAUAUAUGGUGUGCACGUCAAAUAAGUUUGAAUGACCUGUCUAAAAAUACAGCCCUUAAUCAUAAAACAAAAGACAUCAACACAACAAACAAAUCACAUCAAUGCGACCUUCAAUAAUGAUCAGCAAAUUGAUAAACUCAAAACCGAUAAGCUAAUAGAAGUAGAGUGAAAAGUUCACCUUUCAAAACCAUCGAAAGUUCACAAUGCUCUUCUGGUGAAGAAAUUCAACGACAAUGGCGAUGGCAGUGGCGGUGGUGGAUUCCGGUCAGCAGGCAAUGACUCCUCCGUGCUCCCAGACUCCCUUUUUUGUGGCUUUCCUAUUACUUUCCCCUUCUUCUCUAUUUCUUGUUUGUUUGUAAUGGGAUGGAGUUAGAAAACUUGUAUGCGUUUUUAGUGAUAUGCAUCAAUGAUUCUUGGAGAUGAAAUCUUUGAGAUAACAGUAGUGGCUUCUUCAUAAUUUUAGCACUUAAAAAACAAUAAACUACUGCAUUAGUUAACCCAAAGGUCCCAAACUGAAAGAAAACAUUCGUAAAAAAUGAAUGGUAAUGUGGUUUUCACCAACCGCUUCCUACCCCUCCAAGAAGUACACCUGUCCAACUAACAAAACCAAAUGCCCUCAAAGUUGCUGAAAAUUACUUGAUAACCGGCCCAAUUUCACUGUAGCAAUCCAAACUCCCACUUUUAGUAUAGUAAGGAUAUAUAUAUAUAUAUAUAUAUAAGAUAUUUAGAUAGAUAUUAUAGAUAGAUAUCAGGGUUGCUUUUUUAAUUUUUGGGGAAAAAAUUUUUGAGGAUAAAGCUCCCUACAAUCAAAUUCAAGAAACCAAUAGGAAAAGUUUGUGGGGCCAGUAGUGGGGAUAUGCAUAUAUAGUAUAUCUGAAUUGACUGACUCCAAUGACAAUUGAGGGAGAGGAGUGCUGAAGUCAUCGGCUACUGGCUAUUUUGUUGCCUAUUGCCCUCAAAGUUGCUGAAAAUUACGUUAUAACCGCUUGACAAAAAAUGGACUGUUCAUUGUCCAACUCCCGCUUUUAUAUAGUUAGAUUUCCAUUUAGCCUCUCUCCUAAUUUAACUUCACUUAAAAAAAACUAAUAUAUGAAUUUAACAUAGUUAUUAUGUUUGGCCCAACUUAGCAAUUUAACCAGUUAACCCUAGUGAACUAGCUAUCCAGCCGGACUAGGUUAAUAGCUAGAAUAGAUAACGGAGAAACUUGCUGACCAAUCAAUGACCCGUCGAUUCAUUUGGUAAAAUAUCUAAAAAAAUCAAUAGUUCAACCAUUGGUUUGACAACCAAUUGAAUUUUAUUACUUUUAGUAACUCAUAUAUAUAUUAGGGUUAAAUGUAUUAAACCUCUCUGAACUUUAUCCUUAGUUACGCUUUGCCCUUUUGAACUCAUUAAAUAAGCACUUUGCCCCCAAUUUGGUGUUUUAGGAUAAAAGUGCCCUUACUAUUUUAUUUUAUUUCUUUUUUUUGUUUAUUCAUUCCUUUAUUUUUCCAUUUCAACAACCUUCUUUUAUUUGUUAUAUUUUCUUCUUUUACUAUUUCUUUUUGUUUUCCACUUCUCUUAUGUCACUAUUUUGUUUCACUUUCCUAUUAGUAUUACUAAUUUGUAUGCUUAUUAUAAUAUUGUAAUUAUCUUUUACUUAUAAUUUCAUUCUUAUUUUAUUUAUUUACACUAUUAGAAAAUUUAAGAUAAACUAUAUAGUGUAAAAAACUAAUAUGUGCCUAUCAUAAUGAAAAAGUGUGUAUCACUUGUAAUUUGACUAUUUUAAAAACAUAUUAGCAAACUAGAACUUUAAAUUACUUAAUAUUGAAAAGUAUAUCUCAAAUGAAUAAAGUAUAGUUUAUUAACCACAUGUUAUUACAAUUUGAAUUUGUUACUAUUGUUAUUAGAAAUUAAUUUAUUUUAAACUCUGUACAUUUUGAUUUAAAAAAAAUAUAAAGUAGUCUAUGCACAAAGAUCAUAUACUUUGUCAUGGCAUAGAUUUUAUGAUAAUUAUUACUUUCAAUAACAAAAAGUAAAAAAAAAAAUAGACACCAAAAUUAAAAGUACACUUUAUACCCUUGAAAACACAAAAAAAAGUCAACAAUUAGUUUCAAUGAUAGCAUCCUAAAUACUGAGAUAAUGACUAAAUUGCCUAUGUUAUACUGCUAAAUGGGCAAAAAUAUAGUUCUUGUCAUUUAAUUUAUUACCCACUUAAGGUUUAAAGUUAAUAACAAAGUUCCAAAAAUUAAUGUUAUAUUUGUAUUUGAAAUUACAGUUAUUUCAUAUCAUAAUGGUUUUAAAUAUUUAUAAAUAUUAUUAAUACACAAAUUUUGGUAAUUGCUUCUAAAAUAUUUGUUAAUCAAUCAAAUUUGUAUUGAUCACAAAUUUAUUGUCUCCUUAUAUAACUCAUUUCUUUGAAAGCACCGCCGGGAGGGGUCUUUGGGAGGUUUUUAAAUAAUAAACGAAUAUCUUGAUUUUUGCUAAAAUUAUAGGAGGAUGUUUUGUAUUCCACCCAUAAUAUUUUAUCUGUGACAAGCAACAAAUCUUUCAAAUUUUGGUAUAUGCAAUUGUUGAAAACAAAAUCCUUUAGUCCUUAGAGCCAAGAAAACAAAAAAGGAUUGGCAAAAAUAUGUUCGCAAAUUAAUUAGACUAUUCAAAUCGCUGCUGGAGGAAAGUAAGCACUGUUUACCAGCCACUUUUUUUCUUACUCCCUAAUGAUAUGAUUACAAAUCAUGCAUAUCCACAUAUCAGAUAAAUCACACAUUUUUUAUUUUUAUAAAUGGAAGAUUUUGAAUUUAAAAUUUUCUAUUUACGAUUCCUUCCACCUUAUGUAACUGAGGUUGAGGUUGAAUUUGAAUUUAGAAUUUCCUAUUUAAAUAUUAGAACCUCAACCUCAGUUACGCAACCCAUCCCUUCUCCAAAUGAAGCACAAAAGAAGAAAGCUACAAUGUAUUUAAGGUUUCUAUAAAAAAAAAAUAUUUAAAAUUUUGUUUAAAAGGCACCUAGAAAGAGAAAAAAGGUAUCAGCUUUAACUAAUGCACCAUCUAAAUCGUCAUAUAAGCCAAUAAUAUGCCCUACUUGUGUCCUUAAAGAAUAUGCAGCACCGCAAAAUUUGAUUAAUAUGCCUGUCAUUGACAAAAAUAAGAAAGUAAGUUUAUUUUGUAUCCAAUUCCUUGUCAUAGCACGGAAUGUAAUCUAGUCGAGUCGAAUCGAGUCGAGAUCGAGUGUUGCCGUACUUGAGCUGACUCAACUUGCAGGAAGGAUACUUGAGUUUGAACUCUAGCUCGAGCGAAUAGCAAGCUCGAGCUCAAUGCAUUGCUCAUAUAACUCAAGCUCGACUCGUAUGGUUUAGAAUCAAAGCGAGUCUUUUUGAGCUCGAGUCAGGAAAAUUUGAGAAUUUCAUUUUUCUUGACAAAUUUUAUGCAAAAAGACAUUAUCGCCCUUAAAAAAAUUUCAUAAAACAUAAAACAUUUUGUAAAUUCUAUCACUCUUGUGGAUACAAGGGUAAUUUCAUAACAAUAAUAAUAAUAAUAAUAAAAUUAAAAUUAAAAAAAUUCGAUAAGGUUUGACGAUCUUUCAAGUAUUGCUAUUGGAUACUGGAACUCAACUUGUUAGCCCCUAUCGAACUACUCGUGAGCAGCUCGGUUCGCUUACAACCUACAUGGAACAAAUAAGCAUGGUUCGAGGCAAGAGGAUAACAAAAUUAUUUUUUUAAUAUUUGUUUUUUGUCUGGUUGCUGGAGGAAAAAUCAAGCAUCAAAAUUUUCACCCUCCUCUAAUCAUCUUUCUCCACAUGGCCGUGGGCAGUUUCUUUCUCCUACAUGAAAAUAAUUGGCACUUGAUAAUUCGGAACCAAAUAAGGCAGAGUAUCAACCAAACCAUUCAAAGUCCAUGUGUUGUUAAGGAUAGAAGUAAUCCAACCCGUUCAAGCCCUCCAGGCCACAAACAAAGGCAUUACAAAUCAGUAUUGGAGCCCGAAACAAAGUGACUUAAUCCAAAUGGUCCAAUUGAAGUCCAAGCUCAUCUGAUCUUCUGAAAUUUAGCCUUUCAUCGAUUUGAGUAACUAUAUUUUAUUCUGAAAAAUCUCUGGUUAUCGUGCCUAAACUUGAACAGGAUUUUGUAUUAGUAAAUUUUUAAGCUCAACUGGAACUUGACUUGAUUAACAUAAAAUUAUGAUACAUAGGUAAAAUGCUCAAAGCCCUUGAGCUCGACUCAAACUUAGUUCGGUAAAAAUUCGUUUGAAUUUGGUUCGAUAAAUAAACAAGUUAAAUUUAAGCAUAAUUUCAAAUUCGUUAAACUAAUCACAUAAUCUCAAACUUGUUAAACUAAUCAAAUAAACUUGAAUAAUAAGGUGUUCAUAUUGAUUAAGUAAUUUUGUAUCCCUAGAAGUAAGGGUGGUCAUGGUUUCACUUCAAAUCGAUGGUUCAUGGAACUGGGAACUAGAACCGAAAUUGACUUCAUAAAGUGAAAUCGUGGCAGUAACCUUGUCAAAAGAUUUCAAUUAUGGUCUUCGACAAUGUGGAAGCAAACUAAAACCGAUAUUGGAGAAACUAAGCCUGCCUUUUUUUUUUAAUUCAAAAUAAUUUGGGUGGGUUUAGCUUUGAUUACAACCAUAGAUUAGGAUGUGCUUCCAGAAUCAUAGAUCACUUACAAAGAGUUUUACAUAUCGCCCAUCAAGACAAUCCUUAUAUUAACAAAAGGAUUUGAAUGCAUGAUCUUUUGUAAGAAAGUGGUCCGUCUCUGCUAACACAUACACACACAUACAUACAUACAUACAUAUAUAUAUAUGUAUAUAUAUAUAAUUCUACUAAUGUAAGUAUAAAAAUUACUCUAAAUAAAGUUACCAUGCAUGGAUAAAAAAGAAUAAUUUGAAAUUAUUUAAAGAUAUAAAAAUUGUUAGAAGUGAAAAAAAUUAUAAGCAAAAUUGAUUGGAAUAGAGUUUUAGACGAGUCAUAUUCAAGUAUCCAUGUAAACCCGGAUUUAGCU
rnacentral:lncRNA from 1 species